GAAUUCAACUCCUACGGGAGGCAGCAGUGGGGAAUAUUGGACAAUGGGCGAAAGCCUGAUCCAGCCAUGCCGCGUGUGUGAAGAAGGUCUUCGGAUUGUAAAGCACUUUAAGUUGGGAGGAAGGGCAUUAACCUAAUACGUUAGUGUCUUGACGUUACCGACAGAAUAAGCACCGGCUAACUCUGUGCCAGCAGCCGCGGUAAUACAGAGGGUGCAAGCGUUAAUCGGAAUUACUGGGCGUAAAGCGCACGCAGGCGGUUGGUUAAGUCAGAUGUGAAAGCCCCGGGCUCAACCUGGGAAUUGCAUUUGAAACUGGCCAACUAGAGUAUGUGAGAGGGGGGUAGAAUUCCAAGUGUAGCGGUGAAAUGCGUAGAGAUUUGGAGGAAUACCAGUGGCGAAGGCGGCCCCCUGGCACAAUACUGACGCUCAGGUGCGAAAGCGUGGGGAGCAAACAGGAUUAGAAACCCGAGUAGUCCAGGCGUU
rnacentral:rRNA from 1 species